GUUAAGGUUGCUCAGAGAUGCUAUGAUGGGAUGCAUAUCCAUGGGGCCGAGGAUUUCACUAGCAAAUCACCAAAUAGAAGAAGCUUUCUCUCCUCAGAUACCUUUGAUAUUGCGUGGCUUCCCGAUUGAUCCCUUGUCAAAUCAACUUCCUCGAUAUCUCCAUCAUGUAUGACAAGAUUCAAUAUGGCUGUUGAUCCUGGAGCUAGAACCAGUGUUGUGUAGAGGCCAAUACUUGCACAAUGCUAG